UACGGGGGGGGCAAGCGUUGUUCGGAAUUACUGGGCGUAAAGGGCGCGUAGGCGGCUUUUCAAGUCGGGCGUGAAAUCUCCGGGCUUAACCUGGAAGGGUCGUUCGAUACUGUCGAGCUAGAGUGUGGAAGAGGCUACUGGAAUUCCGCGUGUAGCAGUGAAAUUCGUAGAUAUUCGCAAGAACACCAGUGGCGAAGGCGGCUCACUGGCCCGAUACUGACGCUGAGGCACGAAAGCGUGGGGAGCAAACAGG
rnacentral:rRNA from 1 species